GGGCGGGGCCUACGGGAGGCAGCAGUGGGGAAUAUUGCACAAUGGAGGAAACUCUGAUGCAGCAACGCCGCGUGGAGGAUGACGCAUUUCGGUGUGUAAACUCCUUUUAUAUGGGAAGAUAAUGACGGUACCAUAUGAAUAAGCACCGGCUAACUCCGUG
rnacentral:rRNA from 1 species